rnacentral:rRNA from 1 species
UAAACUAGGGAUUGAUACCCUAUUAUACCAUUUAUUUAAUUAUAUUGCUUGAGUAGUAACCAGUUAUUUUCUUGAAACUUAGAGGAUUUGGCGGUAUUCAAGUCCAGUUAGAGGAACCUGCUCUGUUAACGAUACUCCACGAAUCAUCUUACUUUCACUUGAUUCCAGUAUGUAUACCGCCAUUAGCAUAAUAAUGUUUAUAGAUAUGUAUUAUGAUAAAUUUAAUUUAGUAUAUUAGGUCAAGGUGCAGCUUAUGUGAAAGUUGAAGUGGGUUACAAUACAUUAUAUGUUUGGAUAUUGGGUUUAUAAUACUUUUGAAAUAGGAUUUAAUUGUACUUUCAUUUUAAUAAGGUGAUAUGAUAUUGGCUCUAGAAUAUGUACACUCGCCCGCUCAUA